AGCAGAGCAAUCUCAGAGAAUUCGGACAUCACACGAGCACACGCUGCAGAAGCAGAACCCAAUCGAGAGUCACCGCACGCUUUGCUCCGCCGUCUCCUCCUCCGCGGAGUAAUUCCGUCGUGCGCGCUCUCGCACCGCCCUCGUCCUUUGUCCGAUCGAAUGCCGUAACGCCGCGGAAGGGCGCGCGCGGCGAUGCUUGCCAUGGCUUCGCUCUGCCCCUUGUCCGCCGCGCCCACUGUCCCGCGCGCUCGCCGUGCCGCAAGCUUCAGGAGCCCCGCUCCCUGGACCGGCCUCGCCGCGACCGCGAGCAAUGCCAGUCCCUGCGGCUGUGGGCUUCUGCCCGCUGGAGGCUACGCGAGGCUGCGGUCGCGUUUGAGGAGCCCCGUGCGCGCCAAGAUCGACGAGGCCGGCAAGGACACGGGCGCCGGUCUGGGUUUCCCCCCGCCCCGCCGCCGGAAGCUGCGCCUGCGCCUGCGGCCGCGGCUGCGCCUCCUGUGGUGGCGGCUCCGGCGGCUGUCGCCGCGGGAGCUCGCGGCCGACGCCGGGGCAGCGCUGCGGCGCGCCGUCCGACGCGUGCCCCCCGCGGCCGCCGCGCCGGUCGUCCUGGCGCUGCUCCUCGCCGUCGCGCGGCUCGCGCUGCCCAAGAACGUGGCCCGGGAGGUGGCCUACUCGGACCUCGUCGCGGGGCUCCGCGAGGGCGCCGUGGCCGCCGUCGCGUUCGAGGAGGACUCGCGCCGUAUCUACUUCAGCAAGAAAGAUGGGGACGACGGCGGCUCCGACACGAGCGAGGCCGGUGAGAGCGCUGCUGUGGCGGCGCCGAAGUGGCCGUACUACGCGCGGAGGGUGUCGCACGAUGAGGGCUUCCUGCUCGGGCUAAUGCGGGAGGGCGGGGUGGACUACCGAUCGGCGCCGCGGCCUGCUGGGAGGCUGCUCGUCGACAUGCUGAGCACGCUGCUCACGCUCUGGGUCUCGCUGGUGCCCAUGAUGUGGUUCAUACAGCGGCAGAUGUCUGGUGGUGGCAGUGCUGACAAGCGACGCAAACCGAGGAAGCAGAUGGUGGGCUUUGACGAUGUUCAGGGUGUAGAUGAAGCGAAGGAGGAGCUUGUUGAGAUAGUGAGCUGUCUGCAUGGUUCACUAAACUACAAGAAGCUUGGAGCAAAAUUGCCCAGGGGUGUUCUGCUUGUUGGCCCUCCUGGAACUGGGAAGACUCUGUUAGCAAGGGCAGUUGCAGGAGAGGCUGGAAUUCCAUUUUUCUCUGUUUCUGCUAGUGAGUUUGUUGAAGUUUUCGUUGGACGAGGUGCAGCCCGAGUCAGGGAUUUGUUCAAGGAGGCCAAAGAAGCUGCCCCGUCAAUCAUUUUUAUUGAUGAACUUGAUGCUGUGGGUGGAAGUCGAGGUAGAAGUUUUAAUGAUGAGAGGGACCAAACUCUAAACCAGCUGCUUACUGAAAUGGAUGGUUUUGACUCGGACAUGAAAGUUAUUGUCAUGGCUGCUACUAACAGGCCAAAAGCACUGGAUGCUGCUCUUUGUCGACCUGGCCGCUUCUCCAGAAAGGUUGUUGUUGGUAGGCCUGAUGUGGAGGGCCGUAAAAAGAUUCUGGCUGUUCAUCUAAGGGAUAUUCCUUUGGAAGAGAAUCCCGAAAUAAUUAGUGAUCUGGUUGCUAGAGUAACUCCAGGAUUGGUCGGUGCAGAUCUAGCAAACAUUGUUAAUGAGGCUGCUCUAUUAGCUGCACGAAGAGGUCGGAAUACUGUGUCCCGGGAGGAUAUUAUGGAUGCAAUUGAGAGGGAGAAAUACGGGGUCAACGGGAGACAAGAAACUGAUGAUUCUGAAAGGCAAGGCCUCACCAAGUUAUUUCCAUGGUUACCUAAAUCUGGAAAUAAACCAUCAAGCCCUGAUGAUUUCCGAGGACUGAUGGGUUAUCAUACAUUAAGCUAACUUAGCAGCUCUUGCAAGUUGGAUGAACACUAUUCCCUCUUUAAAAGUACUCCCUCCAUUCCAAAUUAACUGAGAAAGAAUAUAAACUGAAACUAAAUCUGGGAAACUGUUUCCUGUAGUUUUAUGUAUAUCAGCAAAUAUACAUCUUGUAUGUACGAAGGAUGUUGCAAAUUGCAGUCAGUGGCUAUUGGUACUUUCAGAAGAAAGCUGUUACAAGCUACAUGAGGACAGUUUGUGAAUACAGAAUUCCAGGAUUUUUCCUAGGGCCUGUUUGGAUAUCAAGGGGGCUAAUCAGUUUCAUGCUUUGUAUUUUUGUUAGAAACAUCGCCAAGUUUCGUCACAUAGCCUACAGUGUUGAUAGAAUAGGCUAAAUAGCUAGCAAGCUAGUGGCGCUCCUGCUGCUGUACACAGAACAGUCAUUCAUCUGAUUCUUCCCAAGUCUGGAAGUUUUGCGAGUUGGAUGUGCAAGUUUACAAAUGCAAUGUCAAGUGCACAUGGGAACUGAAUUUGCAGCGAUGUGCAAGAAAUACACGGCAUCAUAUUUGACAGUUCACACUGAGCAACAAUUAAUUUCUUUCCUGUUAAUUUACACUAUCUCUAUCCUGUAUAUUCAUUGAAUUACUAUCAAGAACAAACUCCAACUCUAGCAGUUUGAGAUGUGAAAUCACUCAAUCUGUCAACAUGUAUGCACUCCCUCUGGUUAAAAAUAUAUGCACUGCCCAUGGUUGAAAGUACUUGUCA